CCAGCAGCCGCGGUAAUUCCGGCAGUCCAAGUCGCAGCCACAAUUAUUGGGUCUAAAACAUCCGUAGCUUGCUUUGCAAGUUUGUUGUGAAAUUCUGUCUCUUAAGGGCAGAAAUUGCAAUGAAUACUGCUUAGCUAGAGACUGGUGGACGCGAGAAGUACAUUUGAGGUAGUGGUAAAAUACGUUAAUCUCAGAUGGACUAACAAUUAGCGAAGGCAUCUCGCGAUGACAGUUCUGACAGUGAGGGAUGAAGGCUAGGGGCGCAAAUUGGAUUAGAUACCCAAGUAGUCCUAGCAGUAAACACUGCGCACUAAACCUUGUGACCUCCUCGAGAGGUUGCAGGGCUGCAGCGAAGGCGAAGAGUGCGCUACCUGGGAAGUAUAGCCGCAAGGCCGAAACUUAAAGAAAUUGGCGGGGGAGCACGGGUAUAGUCCGUG
rnacentral:rRNA from 1 species